UACGUAGGGUGCGAGCGUUAAUCGGAAUUACUGGGCGUAAAGCGUGCGCAGGCGGUUCGUUAUGUCCGUUGUGAAAGCCCCGGGCUCAACCUGGGAAUGGCAAUGGAAACUGGCGGGCUAGAGUGUGGCAGAGGGGGGUGGAAUUCCGCGUGUAGCAGUGAAAUGCGUAGAGAUGCGGAGGAACACCGAUGGCGAAGGCAGCCCCCUGGGCUAACACUGACGCUCAGGCACGAAAGCGUGGGGAGCAAACAGG
rnacentral:rRNA from 1 species